rnacentral:rRNA from 1 species
UGCAGUCGAACGCGAAAGUUUCUUCGGAAACAAGUAGAGUGGCGGACGGGUGAGUAACGCGUAGGAAUCUACCUAGAUGUGGGGGAUAACAUGGAGAAAUUCAUGCUAAUACCGCAUAUGUCCCACGGGAUAAAGAGGGCCUCUUCUUGAAAGCUCUUGCAUUUAGAUGAGCCUGCGUCGGAUUAGCUUGUUGGCGGGGUAAUGGCCCACCAAGGCGACGAUCCGUAGCUGGUCUGAGAGGAUGAUCAGCCACAUCGGGACUGAGACACGGCCCGAACUCCUACGGGAGGCAGCAGUGGGGAAUAUUGGACAAUGGGCGAAAGCCUGAUCCAGCAAUACCUCGUGUGUGAAGAAGGCCUUAGGGUUGUAAAGCACUUUCAAUUGGGACGAAGGUUGUAAGAUUAAUACUCUUAUGACUUGACGGUACCUUUAGAAGAAGCACCGGCUAACUCCGUGCCAGCAGCCGCGGUAAUACGGAGGGUGCAAGCGUUAAUCGGAAUUACUGGGCGUAAAGCGCGCGUAGGUGGCUUACUAAGUCAGAUGUGAAAGCCCCGGGCUUAACCUGGGAACUGCAUUUGAUACUGGUUCGCUAGAGUAUGGUAGAGGGAAAGUGGAAUUCCACAUGUAGCGGUGAAAUGCGUAGAGAUGUGGAGGAACACCAGUGGCGAAGGCGACUUCCUGGACCAAUACUGACACUGAGGUGCGAAAGCGUGGGGAGCAACAGGAUUAGAUACCCUGG